GAAUUUUAAGUCCUGCUGGUGCAUUUAUAAUUGCCUUCAACAGAAAGAGCCCAAGGUGAAAAGUUUAAGACACUUUCAGAUCGAGGACCUGAAUUACCAGCAGAAUUGGAUGUGAGAAUACCAUUCUUCAUUGAAUGGAAAGCUCCAAUGGCAAUUGAAUCUUGAAAAUAGUCCAGAGGCCACCCUCCUACUGAAAGAGAUAUUACAUCAACUCCAUCAGCAAUAGCAUCAUCAAAUGCUGCAAGAAUGUCAGCAUCUGAACAGCCAUCAGACCAACAUAUCUUGUACACAGCUAUACGGGCGGAGGGAAGGCCUCCUCGAGCAGUCCCUGAAGCAACGCCUAGUAAGCUUGCAUGGCUAACUACGUCCCCUGCUGCUGUUGAUGCAGUGUGGGUCCCAUGGCCUUCUGAAUCUCUUGGUGAAGCAAUUUCUCCUGGACCUACUUCUCCUUCGCUGUGGUAGUAUCGAGCUCCAAUUACUUUGCUACGAAC
rnacentral:misc_RNA from 1 species